rnacentral:rRNA from 1 species
AUGGCGUCAGGAUGAACGCUAGCGUACAGGCUUAACACAUGCAAGUCGAGGGGCAUCAGGGAGAAAGCUUGCUUCUUGCUGGCGACCGGCGCACGGGUGAGUAACGCGUAUCCAACCUUCCCCCCAGUAGGGCAUAGCCCGGCGAAAGUCGGAUUAAUACCCUAUGUUUUCCAAUGAGGACAUCUGAGCUGGAACAAAGAUUUAUCGCUGGGGGAUGGGGAUGCGUCCGAUUAGGUUGUUGGCGGGGUAACGGCCACCAAGCCCGCGAUCGGUAGGGGUUCUGAGAGGAAGGUCCCCCACACUGGUACUGAGACACGGACCAGACUCCUACGGGAGGCAGCAGUGAGGAAUAUUGGUCAAUGGGCGUAAGCCUGAACCAGCCAAGUAGCGUGCAGGACGACGGCCCUAUGGGUUGUAAACUGCUUUUAUGCGGGGAUAAAGUGAGGUAUGUAUACCUUUUUGUAGGUACCGCAUGAAUAAGGACCGGCUAAUUCCGUGCCAGCAGCCGC